UGGGGAAUAUUGCACAAUGGGCGCAAGCCUGAUGCAGCCAUGCCGCGUGUGUGAAGAAGGCCUUCGGGUUGUAAAGCACUUUCAGCGAGGAGGAAGGUGGUGAGCUUAAUACGCUCAUCAAUUGACGUUACUCGCAGAAGAAGCACCGGCUAACUCCGUGCCAGCAGCCGCGGUAAUACGGAGGGUGCAAGCGUUAAUCGGAAUUACUGGGCGUAAAGCGCACGCAGGCGGUUUGUUAAGUCAGAUGUGAAAUCCCCGGGCUCAACCUGGGAACUGCAUUUGAAACUGGCAAGCUAGAGUCUCGUAGAGGGGGGUAGAAUUCCAGGUGUAGCGGUGAAAUGCGUAGAGAUCUGGAGGAAUACCGGUGGCGAAGGCGGCCCCCCUGGACGAAGACUGACGCUCAGGUGCGAAAGCGUGGGGCAGCAAACAGGAUUAGAUACCCUGGUAGUCCACGCUGUAAAACGAUGUCGAUUUUGGAGGUUGUGCCCCUUGAGGCGUGGNUUCCGGAGCUAACG
rnacentral:rRNA from 1 species